rnacentral:rRNA from 1 species
UACGGAGGGGGCUAGCGUUGUUCGGAAUUACUGGGCGUAAAGCGCACGUAGGCGGCUUUGUAAGUCAGAGGUGAAAGCCUGGAGCUCAACUCCAGAAUUGCCUUUUAGACUGCAUCGCUUGAAUCAUGGAGAGGUGAGUGGAAUUCCGAGUGUAGAGGUGAAAUUCGUAGAUAUUCGGAAGAACACCAGUGGCGAAGGCGGCUCACUGGACAUGUAUUGACGCUGAGGUGCGAAAGCGUGGGGAGCAAACAGG